rnacentral:rRNA from 1 species
AUUGAAUGCUGGCGGCAGGCCUAACACAUGCAAGUCGAACGGAGUGGCGGACGGGUGAGUAAUGUCUGGGAACUGCCUCAUAGCGGGGGAUAACUAUUGGAAACGAUAGCUAAUACCGCAUACUGUGAGAUGGACCUGCUUUGUAGUAGCUAGUUGGUGAGGUAAAGGCUCACCAAGGCGACGAUACAUAGCCGACCUGAGAGGGUUGUCCGCCAAACUGGGACUGGAGCACGGGCCCGACUCCUAAGGGGUGCAGCAGUAGGGAAUCAUUGGAAAGGGACGGAAGGCUGACCGAGCCACGGCGGGGGAGUGAAGAAGGGUUUCGGGUCGUAAAGGUAUGUUGUGAGAGGAGCGGUAACUACACAGAAAGGGACGGCUAACUACGUGCCAGCAGCCGCGGUAAUAC